AGAAUCAACGCUGGCGGCGUGCCUAACACAUGCAAGUCGAACGAGAAAGUGGUAGCAAUACCACUAGUAAAGUGGCGCACGGGUGAGUAACACGUGACUAACCUACCCUGGAGUGGGGGAUAACUGAGGGAACCUUAGCUAAUACCGCAUAAUACCUACGGGUCAAAGGAGCAAUUCGCUUUGGGAGGGGGUCGCGGCCGAUUAGUUAGUUGGCGGGGUAAUGGCCCACCAAGACGAUGAUCGGUAUCCGGCCUGAGAGGGCGCACGGACACACUGGAACUGAAACACGGUCCAGACUCCUACGGGAGGCAGCAGUGGGGAAUUUUGCGCAAUGGGGGAAACCCUGACGCAGCAACGCCGCGUGGAGGAUGAAGUACUUCGGUACGUAAACUCCUUUCGAUCGGGACGAUUAUGACGGUACCGGAAGAAGAAGCCCCGGCUAACUUCGUGCCAGCAGCCGC
rnacentral:rRNA from 1 species